AACUAGUGGUGCUGGGGCUUGAGAGCUGUUUUUGGGGUGCUGGUAAUUUCUAUUUAUCAAUCUGGGUGCUGAAUCCUUGGGUGUGUACACCUAGUAGAAAGUCAUCAAGUUGCAUACUCAUGAUGUGUUCACUUUUCUGUGUAUAUAUAUCCUACAUCAAAAAAAAAUUUUACUUAAAAAGAAAUUGCCCUGCCAAGUUAGGUUUGGGGUGAUAUUCCCAGCUGCAUCCCUGAGCCUUGGUGCCAGCUGGGCCAGGGGGCCUUACUUCCUUCCUCUUGCUGUUUCUCAGAGCCUGCACCAGGGAGAAGAAAUCUUUUUUUCCCUUCUUACUCUUUCCUCUCCCUUGGCCUGGAGCUAUUGUACAUAUGCAAAUGCAGCAAUGUCAGCUAUUGAGAGAAGCUCAGCUAUUUAUAGCUGGAGUCUUGCAACACUUAUCACAGCCUCUGCAGACUUUAGAAAGGCUGAAACACACACACACGCACACACACACAUACAUGCACACACACACAUGCAUGCAAACGCACACACACUACACAGAGUAUAUUUUUUUCCCCAGGAUAUAAAUUUCCCAUCCCAUUGCAGUCUGGGCCGUUGCAUGCAACAUUGAUUGUCUGUUAUAUUACAUUUAUUAAGAAGUGAUAACUUGUAAUAAUUGGAUGUUAAAUUAAAGAACUCUCUCCUAGUUAUUGCCGUCUCAAUUAUAACUGUCGUUGGCUGGCAGUUAUAAUGAUAUAUGAGGGUUGUAUUUUACGCAGCCGACCAUGACCUGGUGAGUAAUAUUCCCCCAGCUAUGGGGGCACUCAUGCACUCCUUGGCUUCCAACGCCUUGCUUGGGUGCUGAUUGGAAUAUUAAGUUUCUGCAAGACUGAGAUGCCGAAAUCCACACGGAGAGCCGCGACUCCACAGCUGAGAGCCCCCUCUGGCAAUCUCCACCCGCCUCCUGCUUCUCCUCGCUGCCAGCAGAAGUGACUUCCAGCACAUCAGCGGUGGCUGCAGGGCAUUCAAGGAGGAUCUGUUAAGAAUGGGACCCUGGGGAACCCUCUGGACAAGCAGUCCUCGGGGAAGUGUUGAAAGAACUAUCAGGGGAAAGGAAGAAGAGAAGACAGACCAGCAUGGAUGCAAAAUCAGGGACUUCAAGGGAUUUCCAGAUCCAUCUGAGAUGAGAGUUUCAUAAUAAUCCUGCCACACUUCCUAGCAAAGCUCCCUUUCUGCCACUCUCAGAAGCAGGUGACAUGUUUACUUCAUUUUAAGCAAAUUCAACAUAUGGUUACUCAAGUUAUUCCUUUUAUAAAAUGGAUCCCCUACAGUAAUCAUUGAAGAAGCAAGAUCUCCAGUACACAUGAAAAGCAAUCUGUUUUUAAAAUGAAUUUUAUUUUCAAGCAACUUUUUCAAAAGUAAUGUUUGUGAUUAGUACAACUAAUAAUUCUUACAUGCCAGACACUGUUCUAAGCUUUCCAAUUCUCAUUUAAUUCUUGCAACAAUGCAGUGAGGCUGGUGCUGUUUAUAUUCCCAAUUUAUAGAUCAAGUAAGUGAGGCAUGAAGAAAUAAGAUAACUUGCUGAAGGCCAUCCAGCUAGUAAGCCUCAGAGCCAAGUAUAAACCCAGACUGUUGGGGACAGAGUCCAUAGUUUUGAUUGCUACAAUUUUCUGCUUCUACACAUGAGAAGGAAACUGGCUAGUAUUCCGGUCUGGCCAGACUGGGAAGACCCAUGCUGCCAUCUGUCAUGGGGUGAGCUUCCAACAGGAACAGUCUGCUCUGAACCCUCUUUUAUUCUCACCUGUUCUGCUUACCUCUGGAGUUUGUCAUUUGGGAGACUUGAGCCUUCCUCAAUCUCUAGCUUCUAUCACAGAACCUGGAACUGUGUAGAUGCUUAAUGAAGCGUCUGCUAAAUGAAUGUUGGGUGAGUGAGACAGUACACACACGGAUUCCUUUGCAGUGAUGUGAGCUGCUCACACUGGAUGCACACAGGCAGAAAAAAGAGAGAAACUGAGGCAGUUAUUGGAAGGCUCAGCUCAAAUCCCUUCCUACUUUGAUGACUAUCUUUGGUUCUAUUAUAUGGAAAAUUCCAUAUGGGGACUGCAAGCUCUUUGAAUGCAAAAUUCACCACCUCUGCCCUAUUAAUGGAUUCCCAAUAUCUGGCACAGUGCUUGGCUUGUAGUAGGGAUACUGUAUGCUGAAAGCAUGAGCAGUUGGUGGAGUGAAGGAAUGACUGGGAGGAUGAAUACAUAUUUCCUACCCUGCCAAUGUCCAGCUCAGCAGCCUCUAAACUUGUGCAAGCAUCAGGAUCUCUUGGAGAGCUUGUGACAACACAGAUGGCUGGGUACACUCCAGGAGUGUUUGAUUCAACAGGUCUGGGUUGGACCCAGGAAUCUACAUUUCUGACAAGUUCCCAGGUGAUGCUGAUGCUGCUGGUCUGGGCUAUCUACCUUGAGAACCACUGGUCUUAGCAGCCCUAGCUCACUGGUUCUCAAUCUUCACUGCAUAUUGGAACCAGCUGCAGGAAUUUAAGAAAAUGCAGAUUCCUGGGCUCCUUCCCUGGACAUUCUCAUGCAAUUGAUCUGAGGUGUGGGCAGGCAUUGGGGAUUUUAAAAGCUCCCAGUGUGGCAGGGUGUGGUGGCUCACGCCUGUAAUCCCAGUACUUUGGGAGGCCAAGGUUGGCCGAUCACUUGAGGCCAGGAGUUAGAGACCAGCCUGGCCAACAUGGCGAAAUCCCAUCUCUACUAAAAGUACAAAAAUUAGCUGGGUGAGGUGGCAUGCACCUGUAGUCACAGCUGCUCAGGAGGCUAAGGCAUGAGAAUCGCUUGAGCCUGGGAGGUGGAGGCUACAGUGAGCCAAGAUUGCACCACUGCACUCCAGCCUGGGUGACAGAGCAAGACUCUGUCUCAAAAAAUAAAAAAUAUUUAAAAAAAGAGCUCCCAGCGUGUUUCAAAUGCAGCAUAGCCAGAAAAGCUCCAGCCCGGCAUUCAUCUUUGACUCUUUACCUUGAUCUUCUUUGUGGCUGAAUGGGUUGGAGGGCUUAUGAGUGGUUUAGCUCACGUCUGUGCCUCUUGAGGCCCCCAAAAGCCACCUUCCCUGCUAUAUUCUGUGCUUGUUCCAGGCAACAGCUUCUCAAGGUGCUGCUUCCCUGAAAUUUCAUGUCUGUUCUUUGACGCCGUGAGACCCCAUCCCAGCCCUCGCCCACCCCGCACGCUGCAGUGUCUAUUAAGAGCA
rnacentral:lncRNA from 1 species